rnacentral:rRNA from 1 species
UACGGGGGGGGCAAGCGUUGUUCGGAAUUACUGGGCGUAAAGGGCGCGUAGGCGGCCUGCUAAGUCGGAUGUGAAAUCCCUCGGCUCAACCGAGGAACUGCAUCCGAUACUGGAUGGCUUGAAUUCGGGAGAGGGAUGCAGAAUUCCAGGUGUAGCGGUGAAAUGCGUAGAUAUCUGGAGGAAUACCGGUGGCGAAGGCGGCAUCCUGGACCGACAUUGACGCUGAACGGCGAAAGCUAGGGGAGCAAACGGG